UUUCCGCCUCUCGAGGGGACUGGGCAUGCGCGCCGGUGCCCGCGCAUGCCCAGCGCGCAGUCAGGCUCCGCUCCCGUAAUUUGCUCUGUGGUGACCAGGCCGGAGUUUCGGGGUGGCUCGAGGCCGCGCGCGGGCGUGGCGGCCGGACGGGGAAAGCCCUGGUCUCGGGAGUGGCCGGGGUCGCCCCGCCGAGCGGACAUCCUGGGGUCCCACCUGCCGCGCUCUCAGCCAGCGGGAUUAGACGGACUUCGGGAAAGCCCUCCCUGUCCCCUUCCCUGCCCCCAAAUCCCUAAGGGGUCCCCUCUGGAGAACCUCCCUCCUGCGCUGCCCUGCCGCCCCGCCCCCAGAGUUGGGCACCCGCUGCGGACCCCGGGCCUUGCAGUGCACUCUCCAGGCACCACACCGACCCUAACGAGCGGUUCCUGGGCCCUAUUUGCAGAUAAGGAAACUGAGGUUCAGAGAUUCUUUUCAUGGCAUUAUAGCCAAGUUGGGCUGGGCCAUGAUUUGAUUUUGGAAGAUGAAAAAUCAUGAAAGGGACUUAGAAGUCCACUGGAGGUAGACAGGUUACCUAAAUGAACGCCAGCAGGGAACGAGCCCCGCAGUCCCUCCUGAGGCCUACAGACCUGAGACGGACUCCUCCAGGCGAAGGAGGGAAGGCUCGCCCCGACACCGACCCGGGCUUCCGCGGUGUGAGCCAGUUUGUCAGCGAGGAGCUGCCCAAGCUAGCCUCAUGAGGAGGCCGUGUGGAAGAGAACUGAGCACCCUGGCCAGCAAGCUGCCAUCUCCAGACAUGUGAGUGAGCUGUGCUAGACCUCCCAGCCCCUGUGAAGCACUCAGCCCGCUGCAGCUACAUAAGACCUGGAGAGACUGAUGGAAGAACUGCCCAGCUGAACCCAGCCCAAAUUGCCAAACCACGGAAUUGUGAGCCAAUAAAAUACAUGUGGUUUGAAGCCUUUAGGUUUUAAGGUAGUGUGUUACACAAUAUUGUUUCCUGGACUCUGCCACGAUACAUUUGAAACUGACGUUCUUGAAGGGCAGCUUUGAUUAUUAUUGUGCUGAAUAAAAGAAGAAAAUCAGAAAAGGGUGGGAAGAAGUGAUGCAAAGGAGAAGGGCAGACAGAGAUACAAACGGGAAAAGGGACAAACCUAGGAAACAGUGGCUUGUCUUACCUCUUGGGCAUACUUUGUGGUGUCUAAGAACUCAGGCUGAGAAGUAAGAUGAACAUUGGCACAGACCCAGGCUCAAGUUUAACCAUUCACCAAUAAACCUGUGAAGGUUGUAUAAUGUC